rnacentral:misc_RNA from 1 species
ACAAACUUGGUCAUUUAGAGGAAGUAAAAGUCGUAACAAGGUUUCCGUAGGUGAACCUGCGGAAGGAUCAUUAUUGAAUAAACUUGAUGGAUUGUUGCUGGCUUUUAUAAGUAAGUGCACAUCUGUCAUUUUUAUCUCUCCACCCUGUGCACUAUGCAUAGAUCUGAAUAUUUUUUGAAUCAGGUUUAACUUGAUUUCUGGGGAACUGCUGCUGUAAUAACAGCUUUUUCUGCAAUUCAGUAUCUAUGAAUUUUAUAUACUCCAAUGUAUGUUUAUGAAUGUUAAUGAAGGCUUUUAACAGCCUAUCAAAUUUUAUACAACUUUCAGCAACGGAUCUCUUGGCUCUCGCAUCGAUGAAGAACGCAGC